GGAUUAGCUCAGUUGGGAGAGCGCUUGAAUGGCAUUCAAGAAAAGGGUAUUUUUAACGUUUUCCGUAAGUACCUGAUUUAGUACCUGUUAUGACGCUAUCACAUUAUUUAACAUAGACUUAUAAUUUAAUUCUUUUCCUGCUGAUUCCUGUAGUUUCCU
rnacentral:tRNA from 1 species